rnacentral:tRNA from 1 species
GUGGUUGUAGCUCAGUGGUAGAGUACUUGCCUGGCAUGUGUGAGGCAUUGAGUUCAAACCUCACCACCACA